CUACCUCCAGGCCGAGGCAACAUCUAAGGGAAUUUCUAUCUCUUGUAGGUUUGCCCUUUCUGGGCACUUCCCGUAAACGGACUCAUGCUUCAGGCGCACUUGUGUGUCCGUGCUCUUGCACGUAACAUAACACCGUGGAGGCUCCUCCGUGUUGCUGCAGACACCGCAAGGUCAUCCGUCUUCGUAGACCAGUGGCAUCCACUGCCAGUUUGAUUAUCCUUUUACCCGUUGAGACUUUUAGACUGUUUCCCCUUUUUCACCGUGAACAUCUGAGUACAAGUCUUUGCUUGGGCAUAGGUUUCGUUUCCGGUUUCUCCAUGUCCUCAUUCUUUGUCUUGCAUGAUUGCACCGGCCGGACCCUUCAGUCAGUGCUGGACGGAAACGGUGGGCCCCGGCAUCCUCACCUUGGUCCGCCUCUCAGGAGGAAAGCAUUCAUUCCUGCACUACUCAACGGGAUGUGACAUGAGACUCAUUUUUCUUCUAGAUACCCUUUAUCGGAAUGAGGACGUGCCCUUCUCGCCCUAGGCGGCUGAGCGUUUUUUUUUUUUUCCUUUUUUUUAGCAUGAAUGGGUCUUGAAUUUUGUCAAAUGUCUGUUCUCUGUCUAUCGGGAUGAUCAACUACAUGGUUCCCGUCCUCACUCUAUGAUGAUGGUGUUUACCUUAAUUGCAUCUUGAACGCUAAAGCAAUAUUGCAACCCUGGGACCUCACUGGAUUCUGGCCCCCCAGUCCGGAACUUGGGACCGUAUGCUGUGUCAGAUGGGAGCCCCAGAUAUGCUCGUGCGCUCCAUACGUAGGCCGUAAGUCUGUGGUGAGGAGCGCCCUCAGCAAGCCCCCGGUCUGCACUGCCCUGCCCGGGUCCUGCCCGCUCCUCUCGUCUCCCGGCGAGGCAGCCGCACAGGGGAUCCGUGACGGCUCCCUGCCACACGUCUGGGUGUCCCAGCUCUCCCUGAUUGAAGGCUCAAGUCCCGAGGCCCGGGACCGUCUCGCCAUUACUCCAAACUGCCCCGCCCCGGCAGCCAGCCUAGCACGGAGUCGGGGAGGCAAGGGAGACAAGGAAACCUUCACGAGUGGCUCUGCAUUUGAUGGUGGUUGGCGUGGCUGCAGAGGUGAGGCCACCUCCUUCCCGUCUCUGUGACUCUGCCAGGUGGGGAAGACUGGCCCUGCCCCAGGGCAUUCUGCAGAGGAUUCAAUGAGGUAGCUCCUAAGACUUGGUGCUUCCAGCUGGGAAACGUCCACCAAAGUCACCGGUUCUCCGCACUUCACCCACAGCCUUUGUGGAGGUUACAGGUGGUGAGCUGGUUGAGAUGCCCGCUCUGAAUGCAGCCCGCCUAGGUCUGUGUGCC